AAAGCACGCCCAUGAAAAUCGGUGGUGUUUUCCAUAUGUCUUUGAGCUUUUCCAUACGGCACCGUCCUGAAAAUUGUGGGUAUUUAACGUUUUAUUGGAUUUUUCGUUAUAAAUAAGAAAGACAGUGAAAUCCUCCCACACAAUCAGUUCUGGGUUUGACAGGCAUGCAGGCAUCACUCGAUUACAGUCAGGAGACUUUAAUUUAGACAAAAAAUUUUAUCACUUUCUGACGAGGAAUCUCCUAAAGUCCCCCAAGCAGCCUUCAAAACCAUGUUCUGUAGGAAUCACAUAAAGACAAUCUUCAUGGUUCUGCUGAGCACCACCAUCUGUACCCUAACCAUCAAUAAUGUUCCUUACGAAGACAUUAUGAAGAACGUGAUGAACAGCAGCAUAGUAGAGCAUUUCUUUCAUGAAGAGGCCUGUGCGUGUAUGGAGCGAUGUUUGGCUGCCAGUGAAGACAAGUGGUUCACCGAGCGAUUCAGAAGGGACGUACCGCCGCUGCUGUCCCUCUGCAACAGCACUCUUCCAGAUCACAUCUACACAUGGUGGCAGGUAUUCACUUCACAAUCCUCUUAAGUUAUUUAUUAUUGUGAAAUAAUAAGUGGACUUUCAUUCAGGGUUAGGCCCUGUCCACAUGAACACAACUAUUUUCAAAACUGCACUUUUAUCCAUGCAGUUUCACUGUUUGUCCACAAGAAAACGAGUGUCAAGUGACUGAAACCAAACCUAAUUUUCCAAAAAUUACAUCGACUCGUGACAUAAGCGUGUACGAUGUUUUCUCUUUUCUGAUAGGCCAACUUGGCUGGGUUCUGCACAAACGCAUCGCGUAUUACAUACCAUCUGCUCCACAGCACAGUAACUAGGGUCGGGUGAUGUUGAGCAAUCCGCUUGUUAA